rnacentral:rRNA from 1 species
AGUGAACGCUGGCGGUAGGCCUAACACAUGCAAGUCGAACGGCAGCACAGUAAGAGCUUGCUCUUACGGGUGGCGAGUGGCGGAAGGGUGAGUAAUACAUCGGAAUCUACUUUUUCGUGGGGGAUAACGUAGGGAAACUUACGCUAAUACCGCAUACGACCUACGGGUGAAAGCAGGGGAUCUUCGGACCUUGCGCGAUUGAAUUAGCCGAUGUCGGAUUAGCUAGUUGGCGGGGUAAAGGCCCACCAAGGCGACGCUCCGUAGCUGGUCUGAGAGGAUGAUCAGCCACACUGGAACUGAGACACGGUCCAGACUCCUACGGGAGGCAGCAGUGGGGAAUAUUGGACAAUGGGCGCAAGCCUGAUCCAGCCAUACCGCGUGGGUGAAGAAGGCCUUCGGGUUGUAAAGCCCUUUUGUUGGGAAAGAAAAGCAGCAGGUUAAGACCCCGCUGUUCUGACGGUACCCAAAGAAUAAGCACCGGCUAACUUCGUG